AAAGAGAGGGAACCCUGGGUGGCGCAGCGGUUUAGCACCUGCCUUUGGCCCAGGGCUCGAUCCUGGAGACCCGGGAUUGAGUCCCACGUCGGGCUCCCGGUGCAUGGAGCCUGCUUCUCCCUCUGCCUUGUGUCUCUGCCUCUCUCUCUCUCUCUCUCUCUUUGUGACUAUCAUAAAUUAAAAAAAAAAAAAAAGGAGAAAGGGACUCCGCAAAGUCAGAAGUGUGUCCCGGGCGCCUCCGACUCUCACAGAUCUUUAAUUUGCGGACUGUGCGUUCCUGCCCCCUCCACACUCACCCGACACACACGAUUACAAGCAGGUGGGGGGCGGGGGAGUCCUCCGAAACUCUGCAGGCCCCGGGCGGGCGGCUCGGACCUCGGAGCGCACGGCGUCGUGGGCCUACCCGCCGCUCGCGCCCCGCCCCGGGCUUCCCGCGCUCCGCGCCCAUUGGCCCUCCUCGGGAGUGGGCGGGGCCGCGCCGGGGUGCCCUGCGCCCUACGGCCCAAGAGGCGGCGUGCGCCCAGCGCUGGGGGCUGCGCGCGGGUGCCGUGGAGGCCGCCGGCGAUGCCCCGGGAGCCGGUUCCUGCCCGGGCUACCCCCCGGGCCGCAGCCGGGGCCUCGGCGCCGAGUUUGGUCUCCGCGACCACCGCAGCUGGGCGGGCUUCGGACCAUCUGAAGCGCUUUGUGUUAUUCUUGGAAAAUUUCGCACCACUUGUGAAUUCUCUCUUCUCUCUUCUCUCUUCUCUUCUCUUCUCUUCUCUUCUCUUCUCUUCUCUUCUCUUUUCUUUUCUUUUCUUUUCAGACUGAAAUCCCAAUCAUGGUACAAUGCCUUAACAAUUGGCCAUUUAUCAUAAGGGAACAUUUAAAAAUUUUCAUAGUCUGAUGCCUGAGGAGAAAGAAAGGAGCAUAGUCUCUCUUGGAGCUACUGUGGUGCCUCAGAUGCCUUGCCCCUUCCUCUUGUGUCAUUCACUGUAUCUUAAAGUAAGUGGUGAGAGCGCUAUCCAUUUAGAUGAGUGGCCCCUCAAAUCUCUUUUCAAGGUAAGAACAGUGAGGUUUGGAAAUAAAACCCAGGUAUGCAAUGUAGUUAUUAUAGUA
rnacentral:lncRNA from 12 species